rnacentral:rRNA from 1 species
AUUGAACGCUGGCGGCGUGCUUAACACAUGCAAGUCGAUCGGUAACGCGGGGGCAACCCUGGCGACGAGAGGCGGACGGGUGAGGAACGCUUGGGAAUCUGCCCUUCAGCGGGGGACAACACGGGGAAACUCGUGCUAAUACCGCAUACGCUCCACGGAGGAAAGCCGGGGACCGCAAGGCCUGGCACUGAAGGAUGAGCCCAAGUCGGAUUAGCUAGUGGGCGGGGUAAGGGCCCACCAAGGCGACGAUCCGUAGCUGGUCUGAGAGGACGAUCAGCCACACUGGGACUGAGACACGGCCCAGACUCCUACGGGAGGCAGCAGUGGGGAAUAUUGGACAAUGGGGGAAACCCUGAUCCAGCGACGCCGCGUGGGUGAAGAAGGCCUGCGGGUUGUAAAGCCCUUUCGGUAGGGACGAAAGCUCUCGACCUAACACGUCGGGAGGUUGACUUAACCUACAAAAGAAGCACCGGCUAACUCUGUGCCAGCCGCCGCCGUAAAAC